rnacentral:tRNA from 1 species
GAGGGUACAGCUCAGUGGCAGAGCACAUGCUUAACGUGCAUGAAGUCCUAGGUUCAAUCCCCACUACCUCUA